GGACGGGGGGGGGGGGGGGGGGGGGGGGGGGGGGGGUUGAAGGGGGGGUGUUGGAAUAAGGGAAUGUGGAAGUGGAGUUUAUUAAAGCAGCUCAGACAGAAUGUGGCAGUGUGAGGGGAGAGACUGGCAGAAUUAUACAACAGUUUGAAGGGUUGGGAUACAGAGGGGAGGCGAGGAAAUGUAUCAAUAAGGAAAGCAUCAUGUGACAGAGAGAGGAGGUAGAAAGAGGAGACAGAGAGAGGAGGUAGAGAGAGGAGACAGAGAGAGAAGACAGAGAAAGGAGGUAGAGAGAGGAGACAGAAAGAGGAGACAGAAAGAGGAGACAGAGAGGAGACAGAAAGAGGAGGUAGAGAGAGGAGACAGAGAGAGGAGGCAGAGAGAGGAGGCAGCAAGAGGAGGUAGAAAGAGGAGGUAGAAAGAGGAGGUAGAAGGAGGAGGCAGAGAGAGGAGGCAGAGAGAGGAGACAGAGAGGAGACAGAAAGAGGAGGUAGAGAGAGGAGGCAGAGAGAGGAGACAGAGAGGAGACAGAAAGAGGAGGUAGAAAGAGCAGACAGAGAGAGGAGGUAGAGGGAGGAGACAGAAAGAGGAGACAGAGAGAGGAGACAGAGAGAGGAGGCAGCGAGAGGAGGUAGAAAGAGGAGGUAGAGAGAGGAGGUAGAAAGAGGAGGUAGAAAGAGGAGGUAGAGAGAGGAGGCAGAGAGAGGAGGUAGAGAGAGGAGACAGAGAGGAGACAGAAAGAGGAGACAGAGAGAGGAGGUAGAGAGAGGAGACAGAGAAAGGUUACAGAGAGAGGAGGCAGCGAGAGGAGGUAGAAAGAGGAGGUAGAAAGAGGAGGUAGAGAGAGGAGGCAGAGAGAGGAGACAGAGAGGAGACAGAAAGAGGAGGUAGAGAGUCUCCACUCCCUCCGCAGACUCAGGAAAGCUCAACAGACUGGUCAAGACAGCCAGCAAAAUCAUCGGUGCCCCCCUCCCCUGCCUGAUGGAGCUAUACCAGCAACGCUGCAUCAGCAGAGCCACCUCCAUCAUCAUGGACACACUCCAUCCCUCCCACCACAUCUUCUCCCUUUUGCCAUCAGGGAGAAGAUACAGAAGCAUCAGCAGCAAAACCAGCAGGAAGCUGAACAGCUUCUUUCCCCAGGCUGUAAGGCUUACUAAUGGACUGUCCCCUCUCCCCAUAUACACAACCACACACACUCUAAUCCUUGACAGCUAGUCACCUGUCAGGUCAAGAGACUGAACGCACUACCUGCACUUUUGUGAGAAUGGACUAUUUCAACUAGUGAUUUUCUUUUUAGUGUUUUUAUUCCUAUUUAUUAUUGUUAUUAGGAUGUUGAUUAUUCUGUUGAUGUUUUUACAUACCACACAUAUGCACAGGUUGUAAGCAGAGCAAUCCCCAACUCUUCACCUGAGAUAUGAGCAUACACCAGAUGCUCAGUGAGCUCUACACAACCAUAGUCCAGGUCUAAACCCUCUGGAACAACUGCACCGUGAAACAUGGAACGAAAAUCCUCUUAUGUGCCACCUACAUUCCCCCAAAUGAAUCCCCAUAUUUUAAAGAGGACAUGUUCUCCAUCAUGGAGGAAGAAAUUAACCACUUCCAGGCUUAUGGUCACAUUGUAGUUUGUGGAGACCUGAAUGCCAGGACAGGCCGAGAACCAGACACCCUGAGCACCCAGGUGGACAAACACCUACCAGGAGAUAGAAACAUCCUCUUUUUUUCCCUACUUUUUUAGUACCUGCUCUGGUGAGGUUCCAAGCGAGCCAAGCCGAUUAAAUGUGACGUCACCAGACUGCCGGCCACUGAUUGGUCAGAAGAGUUGUCGCUGGAAGCGUCAUGAGCCGUCCCACACAAGAAUCAAACCCGGCAUUUUUAAAUACCGGCAGCAGCGUUACCAUAGUUACAGCCAUACGGCUCAAUUUUCUUGCUUUGUGUGAGACAAAAAGCCUCAUACAGCAGCAAGUACACCACUGCCUCAAUGUCCUCCAUUGUUUAUGUGUUUUGUGUCGCGUAUAAAACGAAGUCACGGCAGUUUCGUGGAGCUGUGCUAUGACGACCCCGCCCACGUUGAGUAGGUACUUUUUUGUAAUGGAAAAGGUCUGUUCUGGAACCGUACCGAGGCGAGGCGAGUCGUGCUGGAACUGUGUAGUUCGCCAUAACACCCCUAUCAGACCACAGCAAAAUCACACUUUAUUUGAACAGAUCAACACGCAAUCUGGAGGUAUCACAGCAAACCACAUUACACCCUAUUAAAACAUGCUACAAAUGGAAAGAAAAUAGUGCAGAAAUAUACCAAAACGCUUUUGGGCAACACCAAGUACAAGUAAUUUUAGACAAAUUUCUGGAAAAAGCAAUCCAACAUAACAUUGAGGGUUUACACAAGGCCGUAGAAUAAGAUACUUGACCUUGCAGCAUCCCUAUAAAACCUAAAGGCCUCAAACAGAAAAGCCAAAAACAACAAAAAACAUGACAAAUGGUUUGACAAUGAAUGUAAAAAUCUCAGAAAGACAUUAAGGAACCUAUCAAACCAAAAACACAGAGACAACCACAACACACGCCUUCACUAUCAUGAAACAUUAAAACUGUAUAAAAACACAGUAAGGAAAAAAAGAGACCAACAUGUUAGAAACCAGCUACACACCAUUGAAGAAUCCAUAAAAACAAAUAAAUUCUGGGAAAACUGGAACACUCUAAAUAAACAAAAACAUGAGGAUCUUCCCAUUCAAAAUGGAGAUGUAUGGGUAAACCACUUCACCAAUCUAUUUGGCCCAAUAGAGAAAAAUGAACAGCAAAAACACAUACAAGAUAAACUAGAAAGCUUAGAGUCAACCAUAAAAGACUACCAGAAACCACUAGACUCCCCAAUUACACUAAAAGAACUACAGGACAAAAUAAAAUCAAUUGAAACCAAGAAAGCCUGUGGGGUCGAUGGCAUCUUAAAUGAAAUGAUAAAGUUCACAGACCUCAAAUUCCAAUUGGCCAUAUUAAAACUCCUUAACACUGUCCUUAGCACUGGGAUUUUCCCCAAUAUUUGGAACCUAGGACUGAUAACACCACUCCACAAAAGUGUCGACAAACUUGACCCCAAUAACUGCUGUGGAAUCUGUGUCAACAGCAACCUCGGGAAAAUCCUGUGUAUGAUCAUCAACCACAGACUCCUUCAUUUCCUCACUGAGAAUAAUGUCCUGAGCAAAUCCCAAAUUGGUUUCCUACCAAAUUAUCGCACAACAGACCAUAUUUUUACCCUCAGCACCCUGAUUGACAACCAAAUAAACACAAAUAAAGGCAAAUUAUUCUCCUGUUUUGUUGAUUUCAAAAAGGUAUUUGAUUCUAUUUGGCACGAGGGUCUGUUGUACAAGCUUUUGGAAAGUGGGGUUGGAGGAAAAACACAUGACAUCAUAAAUUCAAUGUACACAAACAACAAG